GGCUGGUAUGAACCGAGUUUCUACACAGUCUAGCUGGCAAUGGGGUCAGGAGACCUUUUGCUGCUUCACAUCUUUUGGUCACUGUUUCCUCAGGUUAGAAGGGAGAGAAAUGCACACACAUGAUCCACCAGCCCAUGUGGGAUUCUCUCUGCCCUUCUGGCAUCUGAAGGCUGUGAUUCAAAGAUGCCCCCUGCAACCUUCCCAUAAAUGAACCAACUGAUUCUCACAACCGAAGGGAGAAUGGACACCUCCCAUUGAGGGAGAAAAAAAAAAUCACACUCUGGCCUGCUGGCAAGUCACCUGUCAUUUCCAGCUCAUCUUCAUAGUUCCAUAGUUAGUCCUAUUCUUUAGUAAAUAUAAAGACUAUUAAAAGCUUCUACGAGGUGCAACUAUGUGUGUCUCUGGGGUCAGUCUUGUGCUUGACACAGUGAAAGUUCAUUUUAGUUCGGUGUGAAAAACCAGACCUCACCAACUCAUCACAACUAACUCCAUCGGAAGCAGAGGAUUGCUCCUCAUCUGACUCCUCCUGUGUGAGACCUGAUUCUCAGUCAGAGGCUGAUGCCGGAACUGAGACCAUCAGCCAUAGAGAGAUCCUUCCAGAAUAUGGUGUCAUUAACCCCGCAGUUCACUACUGCACUUUGCCGUGAUUCAGGACUGGAACUCUUGUCAUCGACUUGAAAGAUCCUGGUUGAGAGGAAAGGCAAUCUGAAUGCCGGGCACAUCUAUUGAAUUAGAAAUGAUCGGAAUGGCUCCUAAGUCAGGGUGUUAUGUCCUG
rnacentral:lncRNA from 1 species